GUCGACGGGCUCUUCGGAGCAAGUGGCGGACGGGUGAGUAACGCGUGAGAAUGUGCCUUGAGGAUGGGGAUAACAAUAGGAAACUAAUGCUAAGACCCAAUGUGCCUUAAGUGGUGAAAAAUGAAAAUUGCCUGAAGAGGAGCUCGCGUCUGAUUAGCUAGUUGGGGUGGUAAAAGCGCACCAAGGCGACGAUCAGUAGCUGGUCUGAGAGGAUGAGCAGCCACACUGGGACUGAGACACGGCCCAGACUCCUACGGGAGGCAGCAGUGGGGAAUUUUCCGCAAUGGGCGAAAGCCUGACGGAGCAAUACCGAGUGAGGAAGGCUCUUGGGUUGUAAACCUCAAAACUUAGGGAAGAAAAAAAUGACGGUACCUAAUUUAAGCAUCGGCUAACUCCGUG
rnacentral:rRNA from 1 species